AUGGAUCUGUGUGUGUUUCCUGCAGCAUCACCAGCCUCUGCGGAUGUGGAGACGAUGGUUGUGAUGACACAUCGUGACGUUCAGCGUCUGGAACAGGAAGUGCGACGACUUCAGCGUCUGCUGCAGGAAGUCCAGGAGCGAGCGGCCAAUCACGUCGCUCUGCUGCAACAGCAACUGGCCAGUAAAGCACAGCAUAUAGAGAGACUCCAGACCAAGUUACAAUCCCAGCAGGACUACGAGAAGAUCAAAACUGAGCUCAGGUAUUACAUAAAUAUACUCUCUCCUCAUAUAAUAUCAUUACAUAUGAUCAAAACGUCUCUUUAUUGUGACUUUCAGGACUCUUGGAGCGCUGCAGCAAACUACAGAUGUCGUGUCGGUAAGAGAAACAAGCACCUUUUUUUUUUCUCAUAUGCUGUAUU
ensembl:lncRNA